UCAGGCCUAACACAUGCAAGUCGAACGGUAACGCGGGGCAACCUGGAGACGAGUGGCGAACGGGUGAGUAAUGUAUCGGAACGUGCCCAGUAGUGGGGGAUAGCCCGGCGAAAGCCGGAUUAAUACCGCAUACGACCUAAGGGUGAAAGCGGGGGAUCGCAAGACCUCGCGCUAUUGGAGCGGCCGAUAUCAGAUUAGCUAGUUGGUGGGGUAAAGGCCUACCAAGGCGACGAUCUGUAGCUGGUCUGAGAGGACGACCAGCCACACUGGGAGUGAGACACGGCCCAGACUCCUACGGGAGGCAGCAGUGGGGAAUUUUG
rnacentral:rRNA from 1 species